rnacentral:rRNA from 1 species
UACGUAGAGGGCAAGCGUUGUCCGGAUUUAUUGGGCGUAAAGAGCGUGUAGGCGGUUCGGUAGGUCCGUUGUGAAAACUCGAGGCUCAACCUCGAGACGCCGAUGGAAACCCCCGAACUAGAGUCCGGAAGAGGAGAGUGGAAUUCCUGGUGUAGCGGUGAAAUGCGCAGAUAUCAGGAAGAACACCCGUGGCUAAGGCGGCUCUCUAGUACGGUACUGACGCUGAGACGCGAAAGCGUGGGGAGCGAACAGG